GCAGCAUUUGGAGAUUAGAAGCUUUCUCAUCUAUUAGGAGAAACAAAAAGCAGACACUACAUUUCCCUGAACUUUGAAGGUUAUUCUAAGUGAAAUUCUGAAGCCUUUUCGCAGAAUUUGCUUUUGCUGAAACUCACAUUCCUCCUUUGGAAGAAAGCUGCCCACAAAGUCAAGAGGGCAGAAAUGUAUGAAGGUCUUUUUCUUCGACUCUGGCAUCUCCUGAUACGGCGAUA